UGCUAGGUUGAUUGGGACACCUGAAGCCAAUCAGGGGCUUGCUGAAACUAGUUAAAAGCCUCCCAGUUAGUCAGGUGGGUGUGCAUGGCAGGAGCUGUGAGAGGAAGCUGUGCUGGUGGAGAGACUAAGCUGUACACACUAUAUUAGGCACAAGGAAGGAGGCCCUGAAGUAAGAGUGAAGUGGAGCUUGAGGAAGUAGCCCAGGGAAUUGUACGUGUCCUGUUCCUAAAAGGUCAGCUACCAUAGCUGAUGCUAUUAAGGUCCCUGAGCUGGAGCAGAGGGCGGGCCUGGGCUCCCUCCCUUUGUUAAUCACUGAGACUGGGAGACGACAGAGGAUGUAAAUUGAUUGCUCAUCUAACAAAUUAGAUAAGAUGAAAGCCUGUUUCACCUUAAAUUGAGACUAAAUAUGCAGGUUGGCAGAGACUGCAAGGGAGGAUAGCUUCUCAUCUCCCUCACUGGCUUAUGAUGAAAAUGGCUCAGACUGUGACCCUUGUCUCUAGAGAGCCUCUGAGGCUAGCAAAAUCUGCCAGGAAACAUGAGACCCACGGAGACAAGGACAGAGCUUUGUCACAGUGGACAUUUCACCCUGGGAUGAGUCUGGGUAGCAGAGCUUGCACCCCUAGAAAAGCGAGAGAAGUCCCUUUCUAAUAAUUGUCUAACAGCUUACAUUUAAGGGUUGUUAGGAGACAGUGCCAGAGACAUACACACCCAAGGAUGUAAAUUGAUUGCUCAUCUAACAAAUUAGAUAAGAUGAAAGCCUGUUUCACCCUAAAUUGAGACUAAAUAUGCAGGUUGGCUGUUUAGAGAAAAAAUAUUUUAAAACAAGUUUUUGUUCUUCCAACUGCUAAAUAAUACUUUGACCAACAUCCUUCUUAAUGUCUCAUAGCUCCUCCCUUCAGGAACCUAAGUACCUAAAACCCAGUCAGACCUGCAGAGCAAAAAGUGGUACUGGAAUGGCAAUGGACAAUAUUACCUGGAGACAACAUAUACCAGGAGAAUAGGAGAGGGCCAGUGAAAACUCUAAGGCAUGUUGACAGAGGAAGAAAUUCUAAAGGAACUGUCAGAAAGAAUCAACUAUGGUAAAGGUGUCCUAACCAAUACUGCUGGACAGGCUAUUUAACAAGAUAAACAGGCCUGAGGAAGUAAAAUCAACCUGAAAACAAAACAAUCACUACUGUAAAAGAUAAAAUAAAUUUUAUUUUCUUUAGCUUUCUUCAGAGGAACUGUCACAAAAUACUUUACAGCGUUGGAUAUGGUUCUUCUAACACAGGGAUAAAGGACAAGAGG